UCGACGACAUGCUCCGUCCAUGAUUUUCCACCCACCAGGGUACUCCUACCGGUGAAUCUCGCCGCUGCAAGGCCGUAGGGGGGCCACGCAGCGCUGCGAGUUCCACUCCCUCCCUCCCUGCUCCCUUCUCCCAUCCUUCAUGGAUCCCAAGACCAUGCUGGGCACUUGCUGUGAGGCGUGCUGCGACGUUGCCGCCGUGCUUGCAAGCCGGUGCGACACCGCCGUCGUGCUGCGACAGUCCGCGGCAAGGUUGUUGGGAGCCGCUGCUGCGAGUGGCGCCAGCCGACGAUGCUUGCAACAGGUGGUGCUGCGACGGCACCGUCGUGCUCCGACGACAUCUCGGCUACAACGACGUUACUGUGAUGGAUUUUGCGAUGGUUGCUGCGACGACGUUGUCGUGCUCCGACGACAUCGACAAAUGCUGCGACGGAUGUUGUUUCGGUGGCUCGGGCUACUCUGACGAUGCUACGACGGCGUGCUGCGACGGCGCCACUGUGCUGUGAGCCGGUGGCCAUGCCACCGGAGUUGCUGUGACGGCGGAGUGCCUGUGAGCUGAUGUUGCCGGCGUCCUGUGAUGCACUGGAGUUUGCUACGCAUGCGAGAAAUGUGUGUGCGACGUUCUGCAACGAGAAGAAAGAAGAGAGAAGACUAUGUUACGUUGACUUGCAUCGAAAGGCUAGGAAAGUCCAGAUCGUAUGGUCCAGAAGUUGUUUUGCUUUCCUGCAUCCGGAUGCCGCCUAGCAGCGGCCAAACCUAGCCCUCCUCUGUACCGCCACCCGACCUGCGCGCCGCCACCCCCGACCUGCGCACCGCCGGCAGUCCGGCACAACCCGCCCGCCGGUCCCCUCGCACCACCACCGACCCCCGGUCGCUUAGCCCGCAGUAGCAGAAGCGCCGUCCGCGACGGAGGAGCAUCGUCCGCCACCGAGGAGCAGCAGCGCCAUCCGCCGCCAAGGAUCCCCCGCGCCGGGAAGCAGCAGGACCGUCCGCCCAAGGAUCGGCGGCCCCGACGGCUUCUGAGGAGCCGCCCGCCAUUCUUCUUCCAACAUAGGCAACGUCUGUCCCGGUUGACUCCAGUUACCUAGCACCUCCUCCAGAUCUUAACUGGAAGGAAAGGCUAUGUUGUCUUAACAAGGAUGAAAAGUAUAACAACAUACACAAACCAACGUGGACAACCCAGAUCUGGACAGAUGGGACCUGGAAGAUACACCAGAAACAGAAGAAAAAGUUCUCAAAAUUGCGAAAGAGCGAUAUAGAGGCUGGCGAUCAAAUGUAAGCUCCACUUACAAGGCAUACAAAACAGAUGCAGCUAGAUUGGCUAAUCUCCCGGAAGAUUUACAAUCACAAGAGUGGGAAUGGAUGAUUGACUACUUUGUCACUGAUUCAUAAUUUCAGGAACGCAGCUGAAAGAGCACUGGUAAUCGUAAGAAAUAGAAGACAACACACAGAAUUGGAUCAAAACCUUACUCGCAACUAAGUUUUGAGAAGGUAUGAGUGUAACUAAAUAUGUAUGCCUCGUUGCUAACUAUGGUUUCAUGUUUCAAGCAUCUCAUUGCUAUAUUACUUGCGAGAAACUUGGAAACUGGAGAAGAGCCGGAUUGGAUUGCUCUAUGGGAACACACCCACACAAAGAAUGGAACAUGGUCUAACAGAGUCCCAGGAUGUCUAUGAUCCAAAGAACUAGCUCGACUGGACUCUAGAUCACAGACAAUUUAGUCUUGGCACUUAAUUAGGAUGGCUAAAUUACAUUUGAGUUUCAUUUGAUUGAUAUUUGCCAUGAGAAUUAUGAAUUUUAUGAAUCUACAUAUUAUACGUAUGGUUUUGAAUAUUGUAAUUAAAUGCUUGUAUUUUUUUUAGGUUGCAAUAGGCUAUUGCCACAACCCACUUUUGGUUGCCACAUAUUAGCACCACGAAAAUUUAAAUUGUCGCAAUAGUUU